UACGGAGGGAGCUAGCGUUAUUCGGAAUUACUGGGCGUAAAGCGUGCGUAGGUGGUUUGUUAAGUCUGAUGUGAAAGCCCUGGGCUCAACCUGGGAAUUGCAUUGGAUACUGGCAGGCUAGAGUGCGGUAGAGGGUAGUGGAAUUCCCGGUGUAGCAGUGAAAUGCGUAGAGAUCGGGAGGAACAUCCGUGGCGAAGGCGACUACCUGGACCAGCACUGACACUGAGGCACGAAAGCGUGGGGAGCAAACAGG
rnacentral:rRNA from 1 species